GACGAACCGUGCGAACGUUAUUCGGAAUCACUGGGCUUAAAGCGCGUGUAGGCGGGAAGGAAAGUCGGGCGUGAAAUCCCUGGGCUCAACCCAGGAACUGCACUCGAAACUUCUUUUCUUGAGUGCCGGAGAGGAAAGCGGAAUUCCUGGUGUAGAGGUGAAAUUCGUAGAUAUCAGGAGGAACACCAGUGGCGAAGGCGGCUUUCUGGACGGUAACUGACGCUGAGACGCGAAAGCGUGGGGAGCAAACAGG
rnacentral:rRNA from 1 species